rnacentral:rRNA from 1 species
GGAGGGCGGUAUUUAUUAGAUAACAAGCCAAUAUUCCUCCGGUCUAUUGUGGUGACUCAUAAUAACUGAUCGAAUCGCAAGGCCUAUGGCCGCGAUAAGUCAUUCAAGUUUCUGCCCCAUCAGCUUUCGAUGGUAGUGUAUUGGACUACCAUGGCGUUUACGGGUAACGGAGGAUUAGGGUUCGAUUCCGGAGAGGGAGCCUGAGAAACGGCUACCACAUCUAAGGAAGGCAGCAGGCGCGUAAAUUACCCAAUCCUGACUCAGGGAGGUAGUG